rnacentral:tRNA from 1 species
AGAUAGGUGGGUGAGUGGAUUAAACCGCUUCUUUGCUAAAGAAGUGUAGUUGUUAAAACUACCGAGAGUUCGAAUCUCUCCCUAUCUGCCA